AGAGAGUUUAUAAAUAUUUAGAAGUUUAGUUUAGUGUGAAGAGGUGGAAUUCGUACACAUUAGGUUAUAUUAGUACUUUUGUUUACUUGAUGCUUCGAAAAGUUAGAGACCGGGAUUAGAUACCCCGUUAUUUUUUUUGUAAAUUUGAUUGUUUUGGUUUACCUGAGUAUUACGGGUUGAGUAGUCCUUGUAGGCUGAUAGGUCUAUAGGGUUAUUUAGUUACUUAAAACUCAAAAAACUUGGCGGUGCCUUAUUUCCUCCCAGGGGAACCUGUCCUGUAAUCGAUGAUCCACGAUUUAUCUUACUUUUUUUUGAAGCUUGUUUUAAAAUAAGUUAUCAGUUUGUAUACCGUCGUCGUCAGAUUACCUUUGAGAGUUGAGAAGUUGUCAGAUAAAUCAGAAAUACUUGCACGCUUAGGCGUGCGCUUUAUAGGGUAUAAAAUUGAUUUUUGAUGUCAGAUCAAGGUGCAGCCUACGGGAAAGUAGAGAUGGGUUACAAUAUAAAUUUUAUAUUAUGGAUACUAACUUGUAACAGUUAGGUGAAAGUGGACUUGGAAGUAAUGUUAUUUUAAGUAUUUUAAAUAGUAAGUUUAUGUGAAGAAAGGUACUAAGGUGCGC
rnacentral:rRNA from 1 species